AACGAACGCUGGCGGCAUGCCUAACACAUGCAAGUCGAACGAGGCCUUCGGGUCUAGUUGCGCACGGGUGCGUAACGCGUGGGAACCUGCCCUUAGGUUCGGAAUAACUCCCCGAAAGGGGUGCUAAUACCGGAUAAUGUCUUCGGACCAAAGAUUUAUCGCCUUUGGAUGGGCCCGCGUUGGAUUAGCUAGUUGGUAGGGUAAAAGCCUACCAAGGCGAAGAUCCAUAGCUGGUCUGAGAGGAUGAUCAGCCACACUGGGACUGAGACACGGCCCAGACUCAUACGGGAGGCAGCAGUGGGGAAUAUUGGACAAGGGGAGAAAGCCUGAUCCAGAAAUGCCGCGUGAGUGAUGAAGGCAUUAGGGUUGUAAAGCUCUUUUACCCGGGAUGAUAAUGACAGUACCGGGAGAAUAAGCUCCGGCUAACUCCGUG
rnacentral:rRNA from 1 species